AGAGUUUGAUCAUGGCUCAGGACGAACGCUGGCGGCGUGCUUAACACAUGCAAGUCGAACGGAAAGGCCCUGCUUUUGUGGGGUGCUCGAGUGGCGAACGGGUGAGUAACACGUGAGUAACCUGCCCUUGACUUUGGGAUAACUUCAGGAAACUGGGGCUAAUACCGGAUAGGAGCUCCUGCUGCAUGGUGGGGGUUGGAAAGUUUCGGCGGUUGGGGAUGGACUCGCGGCUUAUCAGCUUGUUGGUGGGGUAGUGGCUUACCAAGGCUUUGACGGGUAGCCGGCCUGAGAGGGUGACCGGCCACAUUGGGACUGAGAUACGGCCCAGACUCCUACGGGAGGCAGCAGUGGGGAAUAUUGCACAAUGGGCGGAAGCCUGAUGCAGCAACGCCGCGUGCGGGAUGACGGCCUUCGGGUUGUAAACCGCUUUCGCCUGUGGCGAAGCGUGAGUGACGGUAAUGGGUAAAGAAGCACCGGCUAACUACGUGCCAGCAGCCGCGGUGAUACGUAGGGUGCGAGCGUUGUCCGGAUUUAUUGGGCGUAAAGGGCUCGUAGGUGGUUGAUCGCGUCGGAAGUGUAAUCUUGGGGCUUAACCCUGAGCGUGCUUUCGAUACGGGUUGACUUGAGGAAGGUAGGGGAGAAUGGAAUUCCUGGUGGAGCGGUGGAAUGCGCAGAUAUCAGGAGGAACACCAGUGGCGAAGGCGGUUCUCUGGGCCUUUCCUGACGCUGAGGAGCGAAAGCGUGGGGAGCGAACAGGCUUAGAUACCCUGGUAGUCCACGCUGUAAACGGUGGGUACUAGGUGUGGGGUCCAUUCCACGGGUUCCGUGCCGUAGCUAACGCUUUAAGUACCCCGCCUGGGGAGUACGGCCGCAAGGCUAAACUCAAGGGAUUGACGG
rnacentral:rRNA from 1 species